rnacentral:rRNA from 1 species
GGACGGGUGAGUAAUGCCUGGGAAAUUCCCUGAUGUGGGGGAUAACCAUUGGAAACGAUGGCUAAUACCGCAUAGUAGCUUCGGCUUAAAGAGGGGGACCUUCGGGCCUCUCGCGUCAGGAUAUGCCCAGGUGGGAUUAGCUAGUUGGUGGGGUAAAGGCUCACCAAGGCGACGAUCUCUAGCUGGUCUGAGAGGAUGAUCAGCCACACUGGAACUGAGACACGGUCCAGACUCCUACGGGAGGCAGCAGUGGGGAAUAUUGCACAAUGGGCGCAAGCCUGGUGCAGCCAUGCCGCGUGUAUGAAGAAGGCCUUCGGGUUGUAAAGUACUUUCAGUGGUGAGGAAGGGAGUAUGUUUAAUAGGCAUAUUGCUUGACGUUAGCCACAGAAGAAGCACCGGCUAACUCCGUGCCAGCAGCCGCGGUAAUACGGAGGGUGCGAGCGUUAAUCGGAAUUACUGGGCGUAAAGCGCAUGCAGGUGGUCUGUUAAGUCAGAUGUGAAAGCCCGGGGCUUAACCUCGGAAUAGCAUUUGAAACUGUCAGACUAGAAUACUGUAGAGGGGGGUAGAAUUUCAGGUUAGCGGUGAAAUGCGUAGAGAUCUGAAGGAAUACCAGUGGCGAAGGCGGCCCCCUGGACAGAUACUGACACUCAGAUGCGAAAGCGUGGGGAGCAAACAGGAUUAGAUACCCUGGUAGUCCACGCCGUAAACGAUGUCUACUUGGAGGUUUUGGCCUUGAGCCGUGGCUUUCGGAGCUAACGCGUUAAGUAGACCGCCUGGGGAGUACGGUCGCAAGAUUAAAACUCAAAUGAAUUGACGGGGGCCCGCACAAGCGGUGGAGCAUGUGGUUUAAUUCGAUGCAACGCGAAGAACCUUACCUACUCUUGACAUCUACAGAAGCCUGCGGAGACGCGGGUGUGCCUUCGGGAACUGUAAGACAGGUGCUGCAUGGCUGUCGUCAGCUCGUGUUGUGAAAUGUUGGGUUAAGUCCCGCAACGAGCGCAACCCUUAUCCUUGUUUGCCAGCACGUUAUGGUGGGAACUCCAGGGACACUGCCGGUGAUAAACCGAAGGAAGGUGGGGACGACGUCAAGUCAUCAUGGCCCUUACGAGUAGGGCUACACACGUGCUACAAUGGCGCAUACAGAGGGCGGCCAACUUGCGAAAGUGAGCGAAUCCCAAAAAGUGCGUCGUAGUCCGGAUUGGAGUCUGCAACUCGACUCCAUGAAGUCGGAAUCGCUAGUAAUCGUGGAUCAGAAUGCCACGGUGAAUACGUUCCCGGGCCUUGUACACACCGCCCGUCACACCAUGGGAGUGGGCUGCAAAAGAAGUAGGUAGUUUAACCUUCGGGGGGACGCUUACCACUUUGUGGUUCAUGACUGGGGUGAAGUCGAAACAAGGUA